rnacentral:misc_RNA from 1 species
GCAAAUUCUGAUAAAUUACGCGGCGAGAUGUUGGAUCUCCAACAUGCCGCCGCGUUCCUUCCGAGAACUAAAAUCGUUGCUUCGGCUGACUAUACGGUUACGGCCGGGUCGGAUCUCUGUAUUGUCACGGCGGGUGCUCGGCAGAACCCGGGGGAGAGCAGGUUGAAUUUGUUGCAGAGGAAUUUGGCGAUGUAUAAAAGUAUUGUGCCGGAGCUGGUGAAGUAUUCGCCGGAGUGUAUAUUG